CGGAACUGCUGAGCAGUCCUCAUCGUCUGCAUAUAAAUACAUUCACUUCAAAUUCUGUGGUCUUAAGAACUGAGGGGGACAAGUGAAUGCAGGGAGUGGCAGCUUAGUGUUCAAGGAGUCACAGAGAUGUGACUUUGUAUCCCAUAUGGGGCCAUAGUUUUGUUCUUGGAAUAAAUGCAACAUGUCCAGAGCUCACAGAAGCAGAAGUCAAUUAGCAAUGGCUGUCUUCUCACGCGGCUCAGCUGUGGCCCAGGAGAUCUGACAGGGUUGGCGUUGGGUCUGGGUCCCCUCUGGACAGUGUGAGCUAUUCGUGUCAUCCUGUUGACUUUUCACACAUUUCUGUCUUCUCCUUCAGCCUCCCUUCCCAGUACUCUGCCCAAAGCGCUCGCCUUUCCAGUCAGAGAAUCAUCUGUCCGGUGACAGAAUGCCACCAGCAAGAGCCAGUGCCACUGGCUGCUAGUCCACUCUGCCAGGGAGCACAGCUCACCAUGCAGCGAAACUCUCCAGGGAAGUGCUCUCAACUGGAGUUUACAGGAGAUAUUCUACUUAUUGAAAAAGAAAAGUUACCCGUGGAACAGCACAGGCAGAUCCUUCAGGAAGUCUUCCAGAAGAAGGCACUGUUACUCGAGGAGGUAACAGCUCCG